GGCUGGUCCAAGUGCAGUGGUGUUGACAACUAAUUGAUCACAGCCAGUUACAGAUUCCUUUGUUCCUUCUCCACUCCUCACUGCUUCACUUGACUAGCUUUAA
rnacentral:Y_RNA from 1 species